GAAUGCUGACAUAAGUAACGAUAAAGCGGGUGAAAAGCCCGCUCGCCGGAAGACCAAGGGUUCCUGUCCAACGUUAAUCGGGGCAGGGUGAGUCGACCCCUAAGGCGAGGCCGAAAGGCGUAGUCGAUGGGAAACGGGUUAAUAUUCCCGUACUUGGUGUUACUGCGAAGGGGGGACGGAGAAGGCUAUGUUGGCCGGGCGACGGUUGUCCCGGUUUAAGCGUGUAGGUGUGUGUUCCAGGUAAAUCCGGUUCACUUUAACACUGAGGCGUGACGACGAGGCACUACGGUGCUGAAGCAACAAAUGCCCUGCUUCCAGGAAAAGCCUCUAAGCAUCAGGUAACACGAAAUCGUACCCCAAACCGACACAGGUGGUCAGGUAGAGAAUACCAAGGCGCUUGAGAGAACUCGGGUGAAGGAACUAGGCAAAAUGGUGCCGUAACUUCGGGAGAAGGCACGCUGACACGUAGGUGAAG
rnacentral:rRNA from 2 species